AACGUCUGACACAGGUGCUGCAUGGCUGUCGUCAGCUCGUGUCGUGAGAUGUUGGGUUAAGUCCGUAACGAGCGCAACCCUUGUCCUUAGUUACCAGCACGUUAUGGUGGGCACUCUAAGGAGACUGCCGGUGACAACCGGAGGAAGGUAGGGGAGUGACGUCAAGUCAUCAUGGCCCUUACGGCCUGGGCUACACACGUGCUACAAUGGUCGGUACAAAGGGUUGCCAAGCCGCGAGGUGGAGCUAAUCCCAUAAAACCGAUCGUAGUCCGGAUCGCAGUCUGCAACUCGACUGCGUGGAGUCGGAAUCGCUAGUAAUCGUGAAUCAGAAUGUCACGGUGAAUACGUUCCCGGGCCUU
rnacentral:rRNA from 1 species